UGAUGGUGUGUUUGUGUGUGGACCUAAUUCUUCAUGUCUGCUUUAUGGAGUCUGGAAAUAGUUCACAAAUGAUUUCCACAUCCAGGUUUUGGCAUUUUUGAGUUUGUGAUGUAAAAUUAAGUCUAGAAUAUUUACCUGCAAGCCCAAUUUCAGUAUGUGCUCUGCUUCCAAGUUUCACAUGUAAUCAAAGACAGUGUUCUGUACAAUUGUGAGGUUGUAUUAAUGGGACAGUUGUGUCUUAGGUGGCCUUAGGUAGCAUCAAUUAGUUCUGUGGUCAUACUAACUCCUUUUACUAAGAGUUUCUGGCUUGAACAUGAGUAUUUACUUGGAUUGCGUAUAGCUAUGUUGUAGUUAGAUUGCUGGGCACACACCAUUGACUGCCUGUGCUAUUGAACUAACCUUUGGCCUCUAUCAUCAACAGUGCUUAUACUGGGAAAGCUUGAAGGCAGGAGUUUUUCCUCUCACUUCUCUGUUUCUUUGUUUCUGAGGCAAUUGUCUUUCCUUGAAAUCCAGUCCAGUUUUAGAAUUGGCACUCAACCAUCAAGGAAUUUAAAAGCAUCACUAAAAAUGAAAACAGAUGUCCAGGUCAAUUUUUUGAUAAAUGGCCUUAACAGAAAAAAAAUGGGAAAAUACUGGCUAUCUGCUGCUAAUCACUAACACUUUAGCAUACCAAAAUGUAUUGUUAGGUGUUCUAAACAAAAGCACAAACUGACUAAAACUAAAAUAAGGCAUAUAAAAAUACUUUAAUGGCUAGGCAUUAUUUCACAAAUACAGGACACAAGGCAUCUGAAAGUUUUUUAUUUGGUAAUGCAAGAUUUUGUAGCUUCGGCUUUUGAAAAUUUCCAUAUUUUCAUUGUCCACAGUCUGUAUGUCUCUACUCUUCUUUGUUUUGAUUUUAAAUUAUUAGUCACCCCUUACCCUCACUGGAUUUUGUGUGUGUGUGUGUGUGUGUGUGUGUGUGUGAGAUGAUUUAAUUUGGGUUUCUUAUCUCUUUCUGUGUUUCCUUUGUUGGAAGGGUAUAAAUCAUAAUGGUAAAGGUUGUCUCUUUGUCCCAAGCCAUC
rnacentral:lncRNA from 1 species